CUCCUACGGGAGGCAGCAGUGGGGAAUAUUGGACAAUGGGCGCAAGCCUGAUCCAGCCAUGCCGCGUGAGUGAAGAAGGCCUUCGGGUUGUAAAGCUCUUUUGUCCGGAAAGAAAAGCAUUCGGUUAAUAACCGGGUGUCAUGACGGUACCGGAAGAAUAAGCACCGGCUAACUUCGUGCCAGCAGCCGCGGUAAUACGAAGGGUGCAAGCGUUACUCGGAAUUACUGGGCGUAAAGCGUGCGUAGGUGGUUCGUUAAGUCUGAUGUGAAAGCCCUGGGCUCAACCUGGGAAUGGCAUUGGAUACUGGCGGACUGGAGUGCGGUAGAGGAUGGCGGAAUUCCCGGUGUAGCAGUGAAAUGCGUAGAGAUCGGGAGGAACAUCCGUGGCGAAGGCGGCCAUCUGGACCAGCACUGACACUGAGGCACGAAAGCGUGGGGAGCAAACAGGAUUAGAUACCCUGGUAGUCCACGCCCUAAACGAUGCGAACUGGAUGUUGGGAGCAACUAGGCUCUCAGUAUCGAAGCUAACGCGUUAA
rnacentral:rRNA from 1 species